rnacentral:sRNA from 1 species
CUAUAACAACAACAAAUGCCCCAGCUAUAAACUACAAUAAUUUAAAGAGAAUACAAAAACAAAAACAAAAACCUACCAAAAACAAAAGAAGGAAACUCAAUUAUUAACAAUUACUACUAUGUACUACUACUACUACUACUACUACCACUACUACUAAACUAAAUAACAACAACAAACACAAAAAAAACUACAACUACAAAUCUUUAGUAAGGCCAUGUAAGGAAAUGAAAAAGCAGCAUCAUUGCCCAAAUAAACGAGAGCACAAAAAAGGAAAUGUCGAAAAGAAAGUAUAGCGCAUUAAAAUAAGUAAAAUAUCGAAGAUUGGAAACAACUGCAUCAACAAAUUUGUAAACACAAACUUUGAAUGAAAUGCAACUGAUUGGGAAGCAAUUAUUAAAGAAUUUAUUAUUAUUUUAGUUGUAAUUUAUAUUUCUCUUUCAGUUUAUUUUAAAUAAUUUCUAUAAGAUUUUCGUUUCUUCUACACUCAUUUGUGCUUUGUUAUUUAAUUUAUUCAAAACAAAACUGUAACAAUGUAUAAGGAAUUAAUUGAUGUUUCACCCUCAUCCUCCUCAGCCACCUAAGACACAUCUCAUAGCACAAUAGUCCACAACUGCUUGGAUAGCAAUCUUCUGCAGCCAUCCUUAAGAUAUCUUUACAUUUCACUUAAAGGUUAAGGCAAGGCAAGUCAAGGCAGUGUAGAACUUCAAGAUUUUCACAUUAGAUUUGCUUUGGCAACAAAACGUAAAUCAUACUUAAAUAAUUAAUUAUCAUUUGUAUAUCAUUUCAUUUACUUUGAGCUCAAUUCAACUCAAUUCAGCUCUACGCAUCUGUGUGUGCAGAAUCAUGGAGGAAAAAUCCACCCAUAAGUCCGAUGCUCACUCUUCCCAAGCAAAGCAAACAUUUGUUCAAUAAUUCAUUAUUAUCCUUUCAUCAAUUUGCUUUUCUAUGAAAUUCUUCACAACAGCAUGGACACAGCACGAACACCCAAAUCCUUGAGAUACCCCACAAAAGUGUGUGUGUGUGUGUGUGUGUGAGUGUGCUUAUAUACACCGACAUGAUUUGUAUCAUUGGUCGUAAAUUACAAGAAAGUGCGGCAAGAGAGAGAGAGAGAGAGAGAGAGUGAUUAGUCGUAACAGCUCUGGAGUGUGGGUGUGUGAGUGCUGGUUGAUGUGCGUGUACUUUGUUUGGCCAAAUAAAAUCUGUCCAGGGAAUUAGAGAAACCGCAACAAGUUCUCAAGAGAAAGCUUAUUAAAGGCUUCCAUUUCCGUUUUGCAACAACAGGCCAACUGAAAUUCCCAUCGAAUAGUAGCCGCCGUAAGCAUGCAAACAUAUAUGGCCAUGUCAAUGUGUGUGUUGGCGUUUGCGUUUGGUUGUUUGUAUAUGCUUCUUUUUUGCCAACUGAUUUAUGUAUUUGUUAGAUUACAACAUCCCAAUUUUUCUCAGCCAUCAUUCCCUUACAUUAUGGUCUUUCUGGAAUAACAUUGUGAUUGUAAUCUGUCACUAAUCACAUCACAUUGCCUAGAAAGUUUGGCAUUAACUCACUCACAUCCACAUCUAUGCACACAAAGACAUCAAUGAUUUCCUCAAGGCUAGAGUUGUGAGUUUACCCUGAAUUGAAUUUCUUUAAGGAUUUACUUGUCAAGCAUUAAUUAUUCUUAUGUUUUUUUUUUAUACAUGUAAUUAAUCAUUAAAUUUCUAUCAUACUAUCAUACUUUCUAAUUUAAUCAUUGUAUGUAUAAAUGAAUAUUCCAUGAAAUAAAAACAAUUGUUAAGGCCUCAGCCUAGAAAAUGAA